rnacentral:rRNA from 1 species
AUUGAACGCUGGCGGCAGGCCUAACACAUGCAAGUCGAGCGGAGCGGCGGAAGGGUGCGUAAUGCCAAGGAAUCUGCCUGGUCGCGGGGGAGAACGUCCGGAACUGGGCGCUAUUACUGCAAACUAUCAGCUGAGCCUAGGUCGGAAUAGCAAGUUGUUGGGGUAAAGGCCGACCAAGGCGACGACCCGUAUCUGGACUGAGAGGAUGAGCAGUCACACUGGAACUGAGACACGGUCCAGACGCCGACGGGAGGCAGCAUGGGGGAAUAUUGGACAAUGGGCGAAAGCCUGAUCCAGCCAUGCCGCGGGUGUGAAGAAGGUCUUCGGAGUGUAAAGCACGUUAGGUUGGGAGGCGUUACCAACAGAAUAAGCACCGGCUAACUUCGUGCCAGCAGCCGCGGUAAUUC